UACGGAGGAUCCAAGCGUUAUCCGGAUUCAUUGGGUUUAAAGGGUGCGUAGGCGGAAUGAUAAGUCAGUGGUGAAAUCCUGCAGCUUAACUGCAGAACUGCCAUUGAUACUGUCAAUCUUGAGUAUAUUUGAUGUGGGCGGAAUGUGUCAUGUAGCGGUGAAAUGCUUAGAUAUGACACAGAACACCGAUUGCGAAGGCAGCUCACAAAAACUAUAACUGACGCUGAGGCACGAAAAGCGUGGGUAUCAAAACAGG
rnacentral:rRNA from 1 species